ACACAUGCAAGUCGAACGGUAAGGCCCUUUCGGGGGUACACGAGUGGCGAACGGGUGAGUAACACGUGAGUAACCUGCCCUCAUCUCUGGGAUAACAGUCGGAAACGGUUGCUAAUACUGGAUAUGAGCUUGCACGGCAUCUUGUGGGUUGGAAAGAUUUUUUUGGUUGGGGAUGGACUCGCGGCCUAUCAGCUUGUUGGUGAGGUAGUGGCUCACCAAGGCUUCGACGGGUAGCCGGCCUGAGAGGGCGACCGGCCACAUUGGGACUGAGAUACGGCCCAAACUCCUACGGGAGGCAGCAGUGGGGAAUAUUGCACAAUGGACGGAAGUCUGAUGCAGCAACGCCGCGUGCGGGAUGACGGCCUUCGGGUUGUAAACCGCUUUCAAUUGUGACGAAGCUUUUUGUGACGGUAGCAGUAGAAGAAGCACCGGCUAACUACGUGCCAGCAGCCGCGGUGAUACGUAGGGUGCGAGCGUUGUCCGGAUUUAUUGGGCGUAAAGAGCUUGUAGGCGGUUUGUCGCGUCGGGAGUGAAAACUUGGGGCUUAACCCUGAGCUUGCUUUCGAUACGGGCUGACUUGAGGGAGGUAGGGGAGAAUGGAAUUCCUGGUGGAGCGGUGGAAUGCGCAGAUAUCAGGAGGAACACCGGUGGCGAAGGCGGUUCUCUGGACCUUUCCUGACGCUGAGAAGCGAAAGCGUGGGGAGCGAACAGGCUUAGAUANCCUGGUAGUCCACGCCGUAAACGGUGGGUACUAGGUGUGGGGGACAUUCCACGUUCUCCGUGCUGUAGCUAACGCAUUAAGUACCCCGCCU
rnacentral:rRNA from 1 species